rnacentral:lncRNA from 1 species
GAAAUGAACAAUAGAGAAGCUGUUGGCAUUCGGUUAAAUCGAAUCGAGUACGCCCAUAAGCGGGUUCGAUCCGACGGAUGUUAUGUUAUCUAAUUGGAUUAUAAUUAAUCUCGCUUUCAAAUUGGAAAGUUACUUAGAGAUAAAUCCUAGUCAUAUUAGGAUAACAAAUAAUAAUCGAUUUGGCCUUAUCUCUAACGCUAUUAGGAUUUUGGAAUUCCUUAUAAAUGGACGGGCGAUCCCACAUGAAACGAUGUACAUAAAAGAACGGAAAAAGAGAGAAUAAGAAAAUAAUAGAGAGAAACCACAUCCUCCAUUGACCUAUUAUUCUAGAGGAACUUGAACGGUGGAUUUGCGAUCGUGCUCGUUUGUAGUUCGAUCCACCGCGAGUUCGGAGUGCAAGAAAAUUUUCAAGGACGAUCCAAGGACACGUGAACCAACCUCUACGAUCCGGGCUCAUCGCGUUCUAGCGCGAAUCGCUUCCGCAAAAAAAAGGUACGAACUAAUACUUCCGCUGCGUUCUACAUUGGUAUCAGAGCCUUUUUUGGUUGAUUUCGUGCCCUAAAUCAUGUUCUAACGAGAUUACAUGCGUUAAAAUUAAAUCUAUCAUGUUUUAGAUUUUUUCUUGCAUGUAUGUGAUCGUUCAUGGCGGUUUUUUCAUAAGUGGAUAUCUUUGUUUGAUUUUCUUCACAUCUUAAAGCACCUACGUUGUAGAUUAGAUCUACAAAGUUUGAUUUGGUUUUGUAUUU